UAAGGAAUAUUGGUCAAUGGACGGAAGUCUGAACCAGCCAUGCCGCGUGCAGGAAGACGGCCCUACGGGUUGUAAACUGCUUUUGUACGGGAAUAAACCCCUUUACGUGUAAAGGGCUGAAUGUACUGUAAGAAUAAGGAUCGGCUAACUCCGUGCCAGCAGCCGCGGUAAUACGGAGGAUCCAAGCGUUAUCCGGAUUUAUUGGGUUUAAAGGGUGCGUAGGCGGCCUAUUAAGUCAGGGGUGAAAGACGGUAGCUCAACUAUCGCAGUGCCUUUGAUACUGAUGGGCUUGAAUGCAGCUGAGGUAGGCGGAAUGUGACAAGUAGCGGUGAAAUGCAUAGAUAUGUCACAGAACACCGAUUGCGAAGGCAGCUUACUAAAGUGCGAUUGACGCUGAGGCACGAAAGCGUGGGGAUCAAACAGGAUUAGAUACCCUGGUAGUCCACGCCCUAAACGAUGAACACUCGAUGUUGGCGAUAUACGGUCAGCGUCUAAGCGAAAGC
rnacentral:rRNA from 1 species